rnacentral:rRNA from 1 species
UCCCCGGGGCAACUCGGGGGGAAGUGGCGAAAGGGGCAGUAAGGCAUGGCUAACCUACCCCGGGGACGGGGAUAGCCUUCCUAACGGAAGGGUAAUACCCGGCGAUGUGGCGAGGGGGCAUCUCUUUGCCAUGAAAUGAGUUUCGCCUCGGGAGGGGGUCAUGUGCUAUUAGCUUGUUGGCGGGGUAACGGCCCACCAAGGCGAAGAUGGCUAGCGGGUGUGAGAGCACGACCCGCGCCACUGGCACUGCGACACUGGCCAGACUCCUACGGGAGGCUGCAGUCGAGGAUCUUCGGCAAUGGGCGCAAGCCUGACCGAGCGACGCCGCGUGCGCGAUGAAGGCCUUCGGGUUGUAAAGCGCUGUCGAGGGGGAGGAAGACCCGCAAGGGUUUGACCUAUCCCUGGAGGAAGCACGGGCUAAGUUCGUGCCAGCAGCCGCGGUAAGACGAACCGUGCGAACGUUGUUCGGAUUCACUGGGCUUAAAGGGCGCGUAGGCGGCUUGUCAAGUCAGGGGUGAAAUCUUUCGGCUCAGCCGGAAAACGGCUCCUGAUACUGGCAGGCUUGAGGGAGGUAGGGGCAGAUGGAACUUCCGGUGGAGCGGUGAAAUGCGUAGAUAUCGGAAGGAACGCCGGUGGCGAAAGCGAUCUGCUGGAUCUCUUCUGACGCUGAGGCGCGAAAGCCAGGGGAGCAAACGGGAUUAGAUACCCCGGUAGUCCUGGCCCUAAACGAUGGGUAUUAGGUAGUGGACUUGACAUGGGUUCACUGCCGAAGCAAAAGUGAUAAGUACCCCGCCUGGGGAGUAUGGU